rnacentral:rRNA from 1 species
GUAGGAUAGAGGCCUACCAUGGUGGUAACGGGUAACGGGGUGUUAGGGCACGACACCGGAGAGGGAGCCUGAGAAACGGCUACCACAUCCAAGGAUGGCAGCAGGCGCGCAAAUUACCCAAUCCCGACACGGGGAGGUAGUGACAAUAAAUAACAAUACGGGGUUCUUUCGGAUUUCGUAAUUGGAAUGAGUACAAUUUAAAUCUCUUAACGAGGAACAAUUGGAGGGCAAGUCUGGUGCCAGCAGCCGCGGUAAUUCCAGCUCCAAUAGCGUAUAUUAAAGUUGUUGCAGUUAAAAAGCUCGUAGUUGAAUUUCGGGGUYAGUAGGUUGGUCRUGCCUCUGGUAUGUACUGRUCUUACUGAUUCCUCCUUCCUGAWGAACCGUAAUGCCAUUAAUUUGGUGUUGCGGGGAAACUGGACUGUUACUUUGAAAAAAUUAGAGUGUUUAAAGCAAGCUAACGCUUGAAUACAUUAGCAUGGAAUAAUGAAAUAGGACGUUCGAUCCUAUUUUGUUGGUUUCUAGGAUUGACGUAAUGAUUAAUAGGGAUAGUUGGGGGCAUUAGUAUUCAAUUGUCAGAGGUGAAAUUCUUGGAUUUAUUGAAGACUAACUACUGCGAAAGCAUUUGCCAAGGAUGUUUUCAUUAAUCAAGAACGAAAGUUAGGGGAUCGAAGACGAUCAGAUACCGUCGUAGUCUUAACCAUAAACUAUGCCGACUAGGGAUCGGAUGAUGUUAAUUU